rnacentral:rRNA from 1 species
CCUACGGGUGGCAGCAGUGGGGAAUAUUUGGCAAUGGGCGCAACCCUGACCCAGCGACGCCGCGUGAAGGAAGAAGGCUUUCGGGUUGUAAACUUCUUUUGUCAGGGACGAAGCAAGUGACGGUACCUGACGAAUAAGCCACGGCUAACUACGUGCCCGCAGCCGCGGUAAUACGUAGGUGGCAAGCGUUAUUCGGAUUUACUGGGUGUAAAGGGAGUGUAGGCGGGACUGUAAGUCAGAUGUGAAAAACACGGGCUCAACCUGCGGCCUGCAUUUGAAACUGUAGUUCUUGAGUACUGGAGAGGCAGACGGAAUUCCCAGUGUAGCGGUGAAAUGCGUAGAUAUUAGGAGGAACACCAGUGGCGAAGGCGGGUUGCUGGACAGCAACUGACGCUGAGGCGCGAAAGCGUGGGGAGCAAACAGGAUUAGAUACCCCAGUAGUC